GAUGAACGCUGGCGGCGUGCUUAACACAUGCAAGUCGAACGGAAAGGCCCAAGCUUGCUUGGGUACUCGAGUGGCGAACGGGUGAGUAACACGUGGGUGAUCUGCCCUGCACUUCGGGAUAAGCCUGGGAAACUGGGUCUAAUACCGGAUAGGACGAUGGUUUGGAUGCCAUUGUGGAAAGUUUUUUCGGUGUGGGAUGAGCUCGCGGCCUAUCAGCUUGUUGGUGGGGUAAUGGCCUACCAAGGCGUCGACGGGUAGCCGGCCUGAGAGGGUGUACGGCCACAUUGGGACUGAGAUACGGCCCAGACUCCUACGGGAGGCAGCAGUGGGGAAUAUUGCACAAUGGGCGCAAGCCUGAUGCAGCGACGCCGCGUGGGGGAUGACGGCCUUCGGGUUGUAAACUCCUUUCGCUAGGGACGAGGCGUUUUUGUGACGGUACCUGGAGAAGAAGCACCGGCUAACUACGU
rnacentral:rRNA from 1 species